CGCUGGCGGCGUGCCUAAUACAUGCAAGUCGAGCGGACCACUUCGGUGGUCAGCGGCGGACGGGUGAGUAACACGUGGGCAACCUGCCUGUAAGACUGGGAUAACACCGGGAAACCGGUGCUAAUACCGGAUAAUCCUUUCCUUCACAUGAAGGAAAGCUGAAAGACGGUUUCGGCUGUCACUUACAGAUGGGCCCGCGGCGCAUUAGCUAGUUGGUGAGGUAACGGCUCACCAAGGCAACGAUGCGUAGCCGACCUGAGAGGGUGAUCGGCCACACUGGGACUGAGACACGGCCCAGACUCCUACGGGAGGCAGCAGUAGGGAAUCUUCCGCAAUGGACGAAAGUCUGACGGAGCAACGCCGCGUGAGCGAUGAAGGCCUUCGGGUCGUAAAGCUCUGUUGUCAGGGAAGAACAAGUACCGGAGUAACUGCCGGUACCUUGACGG
rnacentral:rRNA from 1 species